CACCAGUGAUCAUUUCGGAUCUUUAAGACGAAUAUUGACUUCCGUUUAAGUUCGUUCUAAAGUAGAUUAUUAGCAAAUUCCUUUUUCUGGCCUUAGGGUGUCUCAACCAAUACUAGUUCCUAAAAUUUCUUUUGGUGAUGUACUUGUCAUUUCGAUGAGUAUAGGCACCGAAGUACAGGUUGUUAUACCUAUGGUCAGUAGAAAUCCCCGAAGUAGUAAAUAUUUUCCUUAGAAUUAAUGAAACAACCUCCUAGGACCAAUUCCUUACCAAUCAUCAGAAACCACUUACCCGAGCAGACUCUAACCUGUAAUCAGCCUACGGUGGCACUACUAUUUGACAAUACUGUCCGAUAUCCAGAAGCUGUCAACCAGUAUUCAAACGGUAUGAUUUCUGAUACCGGACACAUGUCCUAGUAUCUAGGAGUGAUACAUUUACGCUAGAACGUUGGUUCAUAGUUUCAGGGUAACAAACAAUAUCAAAGAUAUCAAAAGUAUCAUAUAUGCGUUAAUUAGCAACAUGAUUGAUAGACUGAUUAACAGUGAUUAACGGAGUCGAAGAAAUUUAAAUUGUGGAAACUUAGGAGCAAGCAUUUUAGGAGGACAGUAAACUCGUAGUUGUGUUAAUUAUUUUACCCAUCUAGGUAACCAGAACAUUCUCGACCAUUCAUCCUUGUAGUCACUUCCACUGACAAACAUUAGAAUUGAAGCAUGAGUUAAUUUUCUGUUGUAAGAGUAAUUUGAGUGUCGAUAAUGCUGUGAAGACCUUUCAGCAUGUGGCAUAGUGAAAGGAAGUAGUAUGGUACAUUUCGAGAACUUAUAUCCCUAGCGUCAUUUCUCAAAAUUUUACCUGGGAUAUAACCAAAUGGUGAAGUGAAGUACAUAAUCGAUCCACUUUCUCGUAUCCUUACAUCUUUUCGAACAAGUCUUUCAUUAUUGAGAGAACCUAGUUACUAAAGCUUAUCUAUUAGGAAUCUACCCAACCAAACACUUUAUCUAGGGAAUCUCAAACCUAUCCGUUAAGACGAAAGACCAAACCUUAGGAUCGUACCUAGAUUUUAGCAACCCAACCGGCUGAUGAUUAAAACCGUUAGCCUCUACUUUGAGUUGAUGGUCUCUUCAACCAACUUUUAGAACCCGAGUUCUCUUCCAUAACCUGACGAGUUUGUAGUAGCCUUGUUGACGACUUUCUUAUCUACUUUAGCAGUGAAAUCUAUUCUCUAUACACCGACAGUUAGCUUUACACCAAAUUUCUCAAAUAUUACCUUCGUUUAGUUGGUACUUUUCUUAGGAGACAUAAUCUCAGCAGACGACAUUCUUGUUAAUUUCUAAAAAGGUUGCAAAUGUAGAAAACUUCAUAUUCCAUAAAUCGUUGUGAAAUAUGCCAUAUCCUUGGCCUUGUUUGUUUUAUCGGCAGUUUAUUAGUGACUUUCUGAGGUGGUGCUUUUCCUUUUAUGUUGGCCAAGGAAAAAUCAGUUUAGCUGAGAUGUGGGAUAUGAUUGAAGUUGCGACAACUAAGGUGUUGUCUAUUUCCUACCCUUGUUCAUGCACCUUUCGAUAAAAUCUAUUUGUACCAUACUUAGGGCCUCCAUAUUUAGACCUCGUAUAAAUACUCGGGGGAUUCAAAUGUAAUUAUGUAAUAAAUGAAGGGGCAAAUAUGUAAUAAGUGAGGAGCCCUUAUUCUAUAAAAAGAAUCCUCACUCUUCUAAUUAGGGGAGGCCAAGUUUUAGGCCAAGAUAGAGGUUAAGGCUCAGGCCAUAGAAAAUGGGCUAGAGAGAAAAUAGGCUAGAGAGCACACUGCCUCUAGCCUUCUUGUAUAUUCACCAUUCAGAGUGAAACAAUAUCAACAUCAGUGUGGACGUAGCCCAAACAUUGGGGUGAACCACGAUACAUCUUGUGUUCUUUACUUUCUUGCAGAUUCACAGUCGGAUUUACGUUGUUCCAAGACCCUUCCGGUUUUGUGCAUCAACAUUUGGCGCCGUCUGUGGGAAUCGACACAAAAAACUAUGUCGGUUCUUUUUCAUUUUUUCAUCAAAUUUCACCACUAUCCACCGUGGAUCUGCAAAACCAAGAGAUAGCCCAUCUUUCUCUCCCUCCAACCCCACAUUCAUUGGGAAAUUCUCUCCCAUCGUGCAAGCAAAGCAGCUUUCACUUUUUUAUUGUUCUCUUUGCUUUGGGCUUCUUUCUCCUAUCUCUCUCUCUCUUUUGUUUCUAGGGUUGUGUGCUUUUUAGUCAUUGAGAUCUGCAU
rnacentral:lncRNA from 1 species